rnacentral:misc_RNA from 1 species
AUCUUUAAAAAUAAGCCCUGAAGAAGGGC